CACACACAUAUGGUAGGCAUUGCGAUGAGUAGAGGUUCGGAUAUGAGAUAUCCGACGGAGCCCUUGUCUUAUUGGAUGCAGAUCCAAUACCCACUAGGAAAAGGACCCAUUAGGGUUUUGACACGGGAUCUCUAUAAAUAGGAGGGAUUCACAGCCUCAUAGGCUAGAGUCUUUGCUUGCCCUUCCUAUUCUCCUCUCCCUCUCCACCUCAGAGUAGGCCUGGAGUUUUGAGGAGCGUCGUCGCAACCCUGCUGUGUAGAUCACCGCUAGAGAGGAGGACGCUUGACCUCCUUCACCCUCUCCUAAGGAUCUGCAAGGAAACAGGGAUAUACGAUCUCCCUAGGUAACACAAUCUCUAUACGCAGUUUUGUGUUUUGCGGAUUUUGCGCACCAAUCUUCGCACGACGACGAACAUCUUUUUGGGGAAUCGGGGAUUUUUGUUUUCUUGUUCUUCCGCUGCGCAUAUGAUGUCGCCCCCAAUGAUUUCCCAACAGUGUGGCCUCUGCGGACAUGAACCAAACUUUUCGUUUAUUCUUCAUCUAGCAUUGACCUUUCAAAAAUUCUCUGACCGGAGCAAUCCCCACAGAGAUCGGGUACCUUUACGACACUUCAAACUUUAAAUCUAUCAAGAAAUAGCAUUGGAGGUAUGAUUCCGAGUACUAUUGGCGGAAUGAAAUCACUGGAAACUCUUGACUUAUCAUUCAAUGACUUGUCCGGAUCCAUUCCUCAAAGCUUAUCAGGCCUGAAUUAUCUGAGUGACUUGAAUCUGUCUUAUAACAAUCUAUCAGGAGCCAUUCCAUCGGGUUAUCAACUUCAAACACUUGCAGCAUCCAGUUACAUCGGUAAUGCGAAUCUUUGUGGCCCUCCGGUUAGCAAGAGUUGCCUCGAGAAGACAAAUAUCAAUGCGACAUACGAGGAGGAGGAAGAAGGAUUUCAUGCCUUUUCAUUUUACUUUGGCAUCACACUCGGUUAUUUGGUUGGACAGUGGUGCGUGUUUAUCAUCAUGCUAUUUAAGGAAGAUUGGAGGAUGUUUUAUUUUCGAAUGAUUGAUCGAUUAUAUGACAAAGCGUGUGUGGCAAUCAAGAUAAAGAUCAACGGAUGGAGGAUCAAUAAAGGAGAGAGACGUACUCAAAAGUGAAGACUAAAAUGUCGACUUGAUGACGAUGAUGUUAGGCACUUCUCGCGAUAUUUGAUAGCCCCCUUACAAGGCUGGUAGGCUGCAGGCUGUCUAUGUGAAAACAGAGACAGGGAGUUCUUAUUGAAAUCAAACCAUAUGUCCGCAUCCCGAGGCCUUUCAAGCGUUUCUGUGGUCUAUCACUGUUUCCCCGUCAAGCAUUGUAUAUGUGGGUUCAAUCAAUUUAAUCUGUGACAAUAUCUACAUCCCUUUUGUAAUUGCUGCAGCCCAAUUGUUCCAAAAAUGAAGUACGAAGCGGGAGAAACUUCUUGGUGUAAUAAAGAACCCUGUGACUCGCCAUUUGCCUGUCAAUUCCAAGAAAAUAGGUGAUAACUUGCAUAUUUGUUU